rnacentral:misc_RNA from 1 species
UGAAUAUCCUCUGUUUUAGCAACUCCUAUUUAUUAAAUAAUGGGUUCAAAACAAGGAUCCCGCAAAAUUCAACUCCUACUAAAUAUUGUUAGAAGCUGAUGCCGCAUUCCUUUGAUGAAAAAAAAAAAAUCAUAGGAGUUGCUAAAACAGAGGAUAUUCAAGAAAAUCUUGUCAAAACAGACCAAACUAGAGAAAUUACGAAACAUGAGAAAAUAUAUGGAAUAGGUCCACAGUUCCCUUCAAAUUUGUCACCUCAGCACUCGCUACAACCUUCAGAACCAAUAAUCAUCAUCGAAUGAAAAGGAUCUUAAUUUUCAAUAUUUCUCUUUUAAAGCUUUCGUGCAAGGAAUCUCACUUCUGUUGUGAUUGUGGACUGGGUCGAGAAGGCCCCAAGUAGUUUGUCACCAACCCCAUGAUUGCAAACAUGGAGGCCAUGGAAACCUGUUUCAGGUCAUUCUCAAUAUUUCUCAUGUUGGCAAGUGAUUGGGCACAAAAUAUGAU